rnacentral:rRNA from 1 species
UACGUAGGGUGCGAGCGUUGUCCGGAAUUAUUGGGCGUAAAGGGCUCGUAGGCGGUUUGGUAGGUCCGCUGUGAAAAACUCGAGGCUCAACCUCGAGACGCCGGUGGAAACCAUCAGACUAGAGUCCGGAAGAGGAGAGUGGAAUUCCUGGUGUAGCGGUGAAAUGCGCAGAUAUCAGGAAGAACACCCCGUGGCUAAGGCGGCUCUCUAGUACGGUACUGACGCUGAGACGCGAAAA